GCCAAGCAAAGGGGUCGGGAGAGAGGCACAGGUUCCUGCCCUUUGGAUGUUUGCUGUGCAUGAUCUGCUUGUGUUGACUGUGCAGAGAUUGGAGCAGACAUUCAACAAGAACAACAUGAAAAGAAGGAGGCAGAGAUACAAGAGCGCAUUGAAAAAAUGAAAGCUGAACUUUGGGCUCAGGCUGAAAUGCACAAGGAAGAUGCAGUGGAUAAAGCUCUCAAAGAGGCAGCCGCUAACCACAGUGCGUUUGUACAAGACCUUAAACAAAAACUUGGAAAGGAAUUAAGGCCCGAGCAAUAUCUUGCUGACAAGCAUACAAAGGACCAGGCGGCUUCUCCAUCUCACUCUAAAACCAUGUCACUGGCCAUGUGAGCUUGUAAACAAAAU
rnacentral:lncRNA from 1 species